rnacentral:lncRNA from 1 species
AUGGUGUUGUUCUGGUUCUAUGGAGGAAGAUUCUUUUUCAGUGUUUUCAGACCUUUGACUGAAUUUACCUCCUCUAGUUUUGUGUGUUUGAUGACUGUUCUUCCUUUUCACAGGCAGGUGACUUUGUUGUUGUUGUUGUUUAAAAAAAAAAAAAAAUGCAGCUCACAGUGUCAGUGCUGGGACCCUGGGCGUAGAGAAGCAGCCCCCUGCUACCUGAUACUCCAGACGGCCCAGCCACUCCGACACUUUCUUUCCUUGUUCUCAAAGGUGAAACUGGCUUAUGGGAAAAUGGGAUCUGGCCUCUUGGCUCAGAGGGUACAUCCCUCCCAAAAGGAAAAAAUGAAGAUCGAUGAUUGCCUUACAGAAGUUCAGACAGUUUGGGGCACUUGUGGAGCCAGAAAGCCGGUCUUCCUGUUCCUGGCUAGAACCCUCUUCUGCUAUAGUGACCUUGGCGACCCCAGUGCAGCUCUCCAGCCUCUGGCUCUUAGUCUCCGCCACCAUAGUGUCCCGGGUUCCUGCUCCCAAGAACAAAUCCAGAUGGAGGUGAAGGGAGACAAAGCCCUGCUCCUGGUGGAAUGGGAAGUGGGACUCACCUCUGUUUGUAAACAAGAAGGAAACUGAUUCCACCUGAACUUCACUGAAGCCUGAAUUAUCCUUUUUA